rnacentral:rRNA from 1 species
UACGUAGGGAGCAAGCGUUGUCCGGAAUCAUUGGGCGUAAAGCGCGCGUAGGCGGCCCGAUAAGUCCGCUGUAAAAGUCAACGGCUCAACUGUUGAAAGCCGGUGGAUACUGUCGGGCUAGAGUACGGAAGAGGCAAGUGGAAUUCCGGUGUAGCGGUGGAAUGCGCAGAUAUCAGGAGGAACACCUAUAGCGAAGGCAGCUUGCUGGGACGUUACUGACGCUAAGGCGCGAAAGCGUGGGGAGCGAACAGG